UCGGGUAUGGUGUAACGGCUAACAUUGCCGCCUCUCAAGUUUACGUAAUUUGCUUACGUAAUGGCCGCGGCAGCUCGGGGUUCGAUUCCCCGUACCCGAA